UAGUUUUUAUGCUCACCCCCUCCAUGGGCUUUCUAGACCGGCCUUGGUAAAUUUAGAGGUUUUUUUAGAAACUCUAAGUUUACCUAGGUUGGUGUUUUAGGUGCCAAAAUUAAUUCUAAGAAAAUUACAAAUAAAGUUCCUAUGCUAAUUUUGACAAGAAAUUAAAGUCUACUCUACACUAGAGUUUAUGGCAUUUGAACAUGUAAAAGAACGUCUUCUUGGAUCCUUUUGGCCAUAACUCUAUGGUUGGCCCAAAUCUAC
rnacentral:lncRNA from 1 species